UCUCUCCUACGGGGGGCAGCAGUGAGGAAUAUUGGUCAAUGGGCGAGAGCCUGAACCAGCCAAGUCGCGUGAGGGAAGACGGUCCUAUGGAUUGUAAACCUCUUUUGCCGGGGAGCAAAAAGCGGUACGUGUACCGCAUCGAGAGUACCCGGCGAAAAAGCAUCGGCUAACUCCGUGCCAGCAGCCGCGGUAAUACGGAGGAUGCGAGCUUUAUCCGGAUUUAUUGGGUUUAAAGGGUGCGUAGGCGGCUUUUUAAGUCAGCGGUAAACUGUCCGGGCGCAACCCG
rnacentral:rRNA from 1 species